CAGAGUUUGAUCCUGGGCUCAGAGCGAACGUUAGCGGCGGGCCUAACACAUGCAAUGUCGGCACGAGAAAAUCCCUUCGGGGGUGAGUAAAGUGGCGCACGGGUGAGGAACGCGUAGGUAAUCUACCCUCGGGCGGGGGACAACACUCCGAAAGGAAUGCUAAUACCGCGUAAGACCACGCUCACUAAGGUGAGAGGGGUAAAAGGUGGCCUCUUCUUGAAAGCUACCGCCAGAGGAUGAGCCUGCGUCCCAUCAGCUUGUUGGUAAGGUAACGGCUUACCAAGGCUAAGACGGGUAGCUGGUCUGAGAGGAUGAUCAGCCACACUGGCACUGGAACACGGGCCAGACUCCUACGGGAGGCAGUCUAGUGAGUGAAUAUUUGGGCAAUGGGCGUAAGCUCUGAC
rnacentral:rRNA from 1 species